GGCUGGUCCAAGUGCAGUGGUGUUUACAACUAAUUGAUCACAACCAGUUACAGAUUUCUUAGUUCCUUCUCCACUCCCACUGCUUCACUUGACUAGCCUAAA
rnacentral:Y_RNA from 1 species